GAUGAUAUAGGAUUAAGGGAGAGUUUUUAUAUCAUGAUUACUGAUGGGUAUGCGUGCUUAACAUGGAGAGCUUGAGCUGUAAAACUCAGUCAAAAAGGGAGAGAUUGAAAGUGCAGAUAUUGUUGGAACAGGUGUGAAGCUGUUGGAACAGGUGUGAAGCUGUUGGAACGAAAGAUCAUAACGAGAUUUAGUCUUUCAUAAUGUUAUGUUACGGCCACGUUGGUCGUGGGCCAUUGUUCAAGUUAAGCCCAAUCUCUUGUAGAGACUUGAAGCGUGGCUUA
rnacentral:lncRNA from 1 species